rnacentral:rRNA from 1 species
UGCAGUCGAGCGGAACGAGUUAACUGACCCUUCGGGUGACGUUAACGGCGUCGAGCGGCGGACGGGUGAGUAAUGCCUGGGAAAUUGCCCUGAUGUGGGGGAUAACCAUUGGAAACGAUGGCUAAUACCGCAUAAUGCCUUCGGGCCAAAGAGGGGGACCUUCGGGCCUCUCGCGUCAGGAUAUGCCCAGGUGGGAUUAGCUAGUUGGUGAGGUAAUGGCUCACCAAGGCGACGAUCCCUAGCUGGUCUGAGAGGAUGAUCAGCCACACUGGAACUGAGACACGGUCCAGACUCCUACGGGAGGCAGCAGUGGGGAAUAUUGCACAAUGGGCGCAAGCCUGAUGCAGCCAUGCCGCGUGUGUGAAGAAGGCCUUCGGGUUGUAAAGCACUUUCAGCAGUGAGGAAGGCGGGUACGUUAAUAGCGUAUUCGUUUGACGUUAGCUGCAGAAGAAGCACCGGCUAACUCCGUGCCAGCAGCCGCGGUAAUACGGAGGGUGCGAGCGUUAAUCGGAAUUACUGGGCGUAAAGCGCAUGCAGGUGGUUCGUUAAGUCAGAUGUGAAAGCCCGGGGCUCAACCUCGGAACUGCAUUUGAAACUGGCGGACUAGAGUACUGUAGA